AACGAACGCUGGCGGUAGGCCUAACACAUGCAAGUCGAGCGAUCUCUUCGGAGAUAGCGGCGGACGGGUGAGUAACGCGUGGGAACAUACCCAGAGGUACGGAACAACAGUUGGAAACGACUGCUAAUACCGUAUACGCCUACGGGGAAAGAAUUUCGCCUUUGGAUUGGCCCGCGUUGGAUUAGAUAGUUGGUGGGGUAAUGGCCUACCAAGUCGACGAUCCAUAGCUGGUUUGAGAGGAUGAUCAGCCACACUGGGACUGAGACACGGCCCAGACUCCUACGGGAGGCAGCAGUGGGGAAUCUUAGACAAUGGGGGAAACCCUGAUCUAGCCAUACCGCGUGAGUGAUGAAGGCCUUAGGGUCGUAAAGCUCUUUCGCCAGGGAUGAUAAUGACAGUACCUGGUAAAAGAAGUCCCGGCUAACUCCGUGCCAGCAAGCCGCGGUAA
rnacentral:rRNA from 1 species